rnacentral:rRNA from 1 species
AUAGAGGUUUUCCGAAUCGUAACUCUUUGUCAAGGAAGACCAGUGCCAGAUCGAAUAGGCUGCACUACAGUACCUGACCAAGAAAGCACGCUACUACGUCCAGCAGCGCGUUAUAGUAGGUGGCAAGCUUGUCGGAAUUAUGGCGUAAAGGCGCUGCAGGCUGUUCUCUUAGUCUGAUGUGAACAGCCCCACGGCUUACCCGUGGAGGGUCAUUGAAACUGGAAGACUUGAGUCACAGAAGAGGAAGAGUGGAAAUUCCACGGUGUAGCGGUGGAAAUGCGUAGGAGAUGUGGAGGACCACCAGUGGCGAAGGGCGACUCUCUGUCCUGUAACUGACGCUGAGGUGCGAAAGCGUGGGGAAGCGAACAGGAUUAGAUACCCUGGUAGUCCACGCCGUAAACGAUGAGUGCUAGGUGUUAGGGGGUUUCCGCCCCUUUAGUGCUGAAGUUAAGGCAUUAAGCAUUCCGCCUGGGGAGUACGGCGGCAAGGCUGAAAUUCAAAGGAAUUGACGGGGGCCCGCCCAAGCGUUGGAGCAUUUGGUUUAAUUGGAAGCAACGGGAAGACCCUUACCAGUUCUGGACAUCUUCUGCCAAUCCUAGAGAUAGGAUUUUCCUUUGGGGGACAGAGUGACAGGUGGUGCAUGGUUGUGGUCAGCUGGGGUCGGGAGAUGUUGGGUUAAGUCCCGCAACGAGCGCAACCCUUGAUUUUAGUUGCCACCAUUUAGUUGGCCAUUUUAAGGUGACUCCCGGUGCCAACCCGGAGGAAGGUGGGGAGGAGGUCAAUUCUUCAUCCCCUUUAUGCCUUGGGUUCCACACGUGUUCCAAUGGAUGGACCAAAGGGCAGGGAAGCCCAGAGGUCAAGCAAUUCCCAUAAAACCUUUUUCAGUUGGGAUGCCAGGUUGCAAUUGGCUGGCAGGAAGCGGGAAUCGUUGGUAAUGGGGGAUCACCAUGCCGCGGGGAAUAGGUUCCCGGCCUUGGUCCCCCCCCCCGGUCCCCCCAGGGGAUUUGGUACCACCGGAAGUGGGGAGGUACCUUUAUGAGCCAGCCGCCGAAGGUGACCGAUUGU